CGGGUUUCUCCUUUUCGGAGCUGGACGAAAAAGAUGCUUCUUUCUCGCCAGUGGGCGCUCGGACACUCGGGGGCGUGACGGGAUCGCGCAGGGUGUCGCCGGCCCGCCGUGGAAGGCGCUGCCCAAACCCUACCCCGACUUUCCCCGACGCGUGAGUCAAGUCUACCUGGAACCUGGUAGAUAACCAUUGUCAGCACCCAGGGCCGAGAAUCUGGAGGUUAGCUAAGAGAGGAAGAAGUGGGUGGGAUGAAAGGAAGCGAGCUGACAGCUGUCCUAGUGGAGGAACUUUUAAAAGCCAGAUAAAAACAGGCUGCCAUGAGGAGUCGUAGAGACUAUCAGAGCGGUAGCCCUGGUCAUCUUUUGUUUUGUUCUCUUGAUAAAGUACAAUAAUCUUUUCCCUCCUUGAACUUUUUUCUAUUUUGCAUCUGACUGAAAUUGUUCCAUUCAUUUGUUUUUGGAGUUGAAGUGUCUGUUUUCUCUGCACUGGAUCGCCUUCCAACUUCCAGCCCUUAGGAAUUGUUGGUCCGACUUGCAACUGUUCAAAGAGACAAAUGACUUCACCAGUCUCUAUACGAUAUUCCUUUAACUCAGGGACUCCAAGUCAGAAUCUGUAUCUGGACACCUCGGUGAAGACCAGGACAAGAGACUGCUGAGCCACCACCUUGGUCGUGGAAACUGCUUUUUGCAAUCGGCAGUGGUUAAUUCAGACGCUCGAAACUGGUGAAAGGGCUGAGAUUAAGAAGCACUGAGCAUGGGAUAUUUAUAUGAACACCCCCUUUCGGGGGUCAUGGUAGAAGAGGGUGCAGAAAGAAUGUAGGAGCGGAGGGAUUGGGAGCAGUUCUGUGAAAUGCUGUCUUCCGGCUAUGAUACGGAUGUUGCACUCAGGAACUCACAGCAAGUUUCUUCACCUGUUCAAGACAUGCACACGAUGGAGCCUGUCAACAUUCCAGCCGACCAGGGAGGGCCACUAGUGAGGUUAUUGGAAGUUAAUGGGUGCGGAGAGAUAUCAUCUAUUUUCUUCCAGUAAAGAACCCCACAACCAUGCUUAUGUAAGCAACCCUAAUUAAACUCAGUGAGUCAUUAAAAAAAAAAGCAGGAUUUCAAAGUAAAGUCUGGGCAUGCUCAGUUAAGAAUUUAUUUGCGGGCCUGAGGAAAUGGCUCAGCUAGUAAGGGCAUGUGGCGCCAAGACUAAUGCCCCGAGUUUGGCCCUGAGAUCCUACAUAUUAGAAGCAAAGAACUGACACCCACAGACUGUCCUGAUCUCCACACAGGCUUUGGUGACCUUCUCCCAAGAGCUGAGAAUAAGCACGUGUACCAUUAUGUUUGACUCGUAAUCCUUAUAUUUGUGAGACGUAUUCCAGAGCUUUUUCAAGCCACUGAUAUUCACAUUUGACUAGAUAUGUAAAUAGGUGAAACUCCGUUUCAUUAUUAAGAAAGCUAGGCUUCAGAGAAGUCAAACAGCUUGCUUAGAAUCCCGUGUCUAAUAAUUAAUAGAAGGUGGACCUCCAUCUGUGCUUUCUGUUACCAAAGCCUGUGUAGAGUUUGAUUUCAUUUGCUAACUUGGUUUGGAUGGUUUUACUAAUACCUUCAAAAUCGAAAUGAACAGUCAAAAUAAAAUCUAAUGUAUUUAUCCAAAGACAUUUCAGGAAUCUAUCAUCAAUGAACCCAAGUAAUCUUUACCAGGCUUGAGUUUUUUAAAAAGAAAACCAUACAGUUGAAUAAUUAAAAAUAAUCAAAUCAAUGUCUUUAAUUGACUUUCAGCCCCCGCCCCGUUUGGGUUGAAAAGGGGUUCACUGAAUAUAUCAUAUAUAUUUAAACACAUUAUCACCACCCUAAGUGUAACUCUCAGUUAUGUCUAGAUUAGAUCACUGCAUCUAUUUCUGCAUCCUGAGUAUAACAAUUUUAAUAAUUUGUUGUACAUUCUCUUCUGUGACACACUCAAGUGUGAAGCCAUUGAGAUGCUAUAGAAACUGACUCAGGGUGCAAACAUCUUCACGAGAUGAGUGUCUGGAGAACUGGCUGUUUCACUGACUUGCCUUUGGCAUUAGAAAGUUGCAAUUGGGCAGUAGAAAGCAGCUUGCCUCAAAUAUACUCUGUGUUGACAGCUGUGUUUCUCAAUCACUCUGACCAAGGAGUGGCUCCGAGGCACCCAGAGGGUUCCUGGAUAUCACAUUCAAUAUAGCUCCCGCACAAGUCACAUAAUGCCCAAGUCACUGGCUGCUUACAUGCGACUUUAGUGCUUCAGGAUGCCCCUUAGUGUCCAUUCCAUGGUUUUUAUUAGCAUUUUAACCAUCAAAAUGUCCACUUGCAGAGGCUGGAAAGAUGGCUUAGUGGUUAAGAGUGUUUCCUGUUCUUCCAGAGGACCAGUGUAACGUGAGUUUUCCAGAUUGCCAAAAUGUCUCAGUAAGUAUAAGUGCUUGUGCUAAGUCUAGAGACCUGAGUUUGAUCCCCAGGGACCCAAACCUACAUUGUGGAAGAAGAGAGCAGACUCCUGAAACUUGUCCUCUAUCAACAACACAUACAUACACAAUCAAUCAAUUGACCAAUAUAAUUUUAAACUGUUGAAUUAUUCAGUUCUAUUCUACGUGUGGGGGUUCAUGCCUGUGAUCUCAGCACUGAGGAGGCAGAACCAGGAGGAUCAAGAAUCUAGAGACAGCUUGGAAUACACAAUGAUAACUGUCUCGGGUUUUUUGUUUUGUUUUGUUUUGUUUUAUUCAUUUCUUGGGGCUGGAGAAAUGGCUCAGCAGCUAAAAGCACUUGCUGCUCUUGGAGAGGACCCAGGUUCAGUGGCCAGCACACACACAGAGGCUUACCACCAUCAGUAAGUCCUGUCCCAGUGAUCCAGCAUCCUCUUCUGGCCUCCUCAGGUGACCUGACAAUGCAGAGUGCCUCUGCUCCUAUGCCAGUGGCUCCAUUGCGUGUUGGAGUCCCAUUAUUGGGUUCAGUCGAAGGAACUGAAAUCAGUGUAUUGGAGAGGUGGCUGCACUCCCAUGCCUCCCAAGUUUCUUACAGCACUAUUCACAAUAGUAAAAUGUGGGAUCAA